rnacentral:rRNA from 1 species
UACGUAGGGUGCGAGCGUUAAUCGGAUUUACUGGGCGUAAAGCGUGCGCAGGCGGCCUGUUAAGUCAGGUGUGAAAUCCCUGGGCACAACCUAGGAAUUGCACUUGUGACUGGCGGGCUCGAGUGCGGUAGAGGGGGGUGGAAUUCCUGGUGUAGCAGUGAAAUGCGUAGAGAUCAGGAGGAACACCGAUGGCGAAGGCAGCCCCCUGGGCCUGUACUGACGCUCAUGCACGAAAGCGUGGGGAGCAAACAGG